CCCCCCUAGUAGAAACGUCGCGACCCGUUGGGUGCCGGUCUUAGGCCCAGGGAGUAAGUCCGUGCGUCCUGUGGGGGUUCUCACAGGCGUGUGGAACCCUGGUGACCGGGCCGGCUGCUCGACGGUAUGACCAGAGGAGUCGAUCCGCUGAAUGUGAAACACUUUGGUUGUGUAGCGUCCGGCCCAUCUGCCGAUGCAUAUGCAGUUGUCACCCGUGUAGAGCAUGGGUUGCACUGUGUCUUCGGAUUUGGUGUCCUCGGACCGGAUCAGCACUCCCGUCUGCGACGCCCACCUUCGGA
rnacentral:rRNA from 1 species